AUACGGAGGAUCCGAGCGUUAUCCGGAUUUAUUGGGUUUAAAGGGUGCGCAGGCGGGAGAUUAAGUCGGUGGUGAAAUUUUUCAGCUUAACCUUAAAAGUGCCUUUGAUACUGGUUUCCUUGAGUGUGGCUGAAGGAGGCGGAAUUUGUGGUGUAGCGGUGAAAUGCUUAGAUAUCACGAGGAACUCCGAUUGCGCAGGCAGCUUACUAAACCACUACUGACGCUCAGGCACGAAGGCGUGGGGAUCAAACAGGAUUAGAUACCCUGGUAGUCCACGCAGUAAACGAUGAUUACUGGCUGUUUGCGAUACAAUGUCAGCGGCUGAGAGAAAGCGUUAAGUAAUCCACCUGGGGAGUACGUUCGCAAGAAUGAAACUCAAAGGAAUUGACGGGG
rnacentral:rRNA from 1 species